GGACCUUUCCGUCAGUCCCAUACCUUAUUUGGAAAUGGGACUAUUGCAUUCCGGAAAUGAAGGGGGCGCUAUUUUCAUAAUCACUAGUAUAAAUACCUUAAGACGCGGAGUUAAGAGGAACGGAAGAAGAAAGAAAGAAGUUUGAGACGUUCUUCCACUGGUGUUCGGCUCACGAUCAACAAUGCAAAACUCACAAAGUCAACAAAAGAUCCACGUAUCUAUUUGCAACAUGAACAUAAAUAUUGCUGUCCCCUUUGCUCAUACAAGCUACAGAGCCAUUUAGCACAAACUGCUAUGGUUCAACAUAACGAUGCCUCUGAAUGUUCUUGAAGCUGUUCUCCAGGAGGUGAUACCUGC